UCCCAGCUACGGAGGUGAGGAAACGGCAUGAGCAUAACCAUAUCCUCUACGUAUUGCAUAGUGAAUGCAAGCUGGCCUGACUAUUCAUUGUAUCUUUUCGUUGAGGCGCUUGGCUUCCACUCCAAAUGUGAAGUCUUUUCCUUUUCCAGCUAGUUAAGCACUCUAUUGCCUCUGGACUUCCUGUUGGCUGCCCAUCAGCACCCCGACCUCUCCAGACCUGAGGCUUUUCUCUGUUGGCUCGGCACUUCUUCCUGCCGCCAUGUGAAGAAAGAUGUGUU
rnacentral:lncRNA from 1 species